rnacentral:misc_RNA from 1 species
AAAGUCGUAACAAGGUCUCCGUUGGUGAACCAGCGGAGGGAUCAUUACCGAGUUUACAACUCCCAAACCCCUGUGAACAUACCUACGUUGCUUCGGCGGACCACCCCAACCCCCUCGGGGCGAGGGGCCGCCAGAGGACCCAAAACCCAACUGUUUUUUCCGUAACGAAACCUAUUCUGAGUGGAAUUAUUGAAUAAAUCAAAACUUUCAACAACGGAUCUCUUGGCUCUG